GGCCCCUUGGUCAAGUGGUUAAGACAUCGCCCUUUCACGGCGGUAACAUGGGUUCGAACCCCGUAGGGGUCACCA
rnacentral:tRNA from 2 species